rnacentral:lncRNA from 1 species
GGGGCGCGGCGAUUGCAAGGGACACAAACCAAUCCAGAUACUCGAGGGUCGAGAAGGGGUGCCCCGAGGCUAGGAGGUGACACCAUGCCAAGGUUGUAGAUCAAGAACCACCGGCUGUGCUGCGAGGCACGGCUGAACAUGUCAUCUUCCAUCAGAGUCAAACCAUCUUCUGCAGGCGCGCUUAACUCCUCGUAUCUUGCUGUUCUCUGAUGCCUUGCGCACAAAAGCAC